rnacentral:rRNA from 1 species
GGGUCAGUAGGUUGGUCGUGCCACCGGUACGUACUGGUCUCACUGAUUCCUCCUUCCCGAAGAACCGUAAUGCCAUUAAUUUGGUGUUGCGGGGAAACAGGACUGUUACUUUGAAAAAAUUAGAGUGUUUAAAGCAAGCUAACGCUUGAAUACAUUAGCAUGGAAUAAUGAAAUAGGGCGAUCGAUCCUAUUUUGUUGGUUUCUAGGAUUGACGUA